AGUGAACGCUGGCGGUAGGCCUAACACAUGCAAGUCGAACGGCAGCACAGUAAGAGCUUGCUCUUACGGGUGGCGAGUGGCGGACGGGUGAGGAAUACAUCGGAAUCUACUUUUUCGUGGGGGAUAACGUAGGGAAACUUACGCUAAUACCGCAUACGACCUACGGGUGAAAGCAGGGGAUCUUCGGACCUUGCGCGAUUGAAUGAGCCGAUGUCGGAUUAGCUAGUUGGCGGGGUAAAGGCCCACCAAGGCGACGAUCCGUAGCUGGUCUGAGAGGAUGGUCGGCCACACUGGAACUGAGACACGGUCCAGACUCCUACGGGAGGCAGCAGUGGGGAAUAUUGGACAAUGGGCGGAAGCAUGAUCCAGCCAUACCGCGUGGGUGAAGAAGGCGUUCGGGUUGUAAAGCCCUUUUGUUGGGAAAGAAAAGCAGCAGGUUAAUACCCCGCUGUUCUGACGGUACCCAAAGAAUAAGCACCGGCUAACUUCGUG
rnacentral:rRNA from 1 species